rnacentral:rRNA from 1 species
AAAUUGACGGGGGCCCGCACAAGCGGUGGAGCAUGUGGUUUAAUUCGAUGCAACGCGAAGAACCUUACCUGGGCUUGACAUCCCGGGAAUCCCUUGGAAACAAGGGAGUGCCCUUCGGGGAACCUGGAGACAGGUGCUGCAUGGCUGUCGUCAGCUCGUGUCGUGAGAUGUAGGGUUAAGUCCCGCAACGAGCGCAACCCUUGUCUUUAAUUGCCAUCAUUGAGUUGGGCACUUUAAAGAGACUGCCGGUGUUAAACCGGAGGAAGGUGGGGAUGACGUCAAGUCCUCAUGGCCUUUAUGCCCAGGGCUACACACGUGCUACAAUGGGUGGUACAAAGAGCAGCCAGCUCGCGAGAGUAUGCAAAUCUCAAAAAGCCAUCCUCAGUUCGGAUUGGAGUCUGCAACUCGACUCCAUGAAGUUGGAAUCGCUAGUAAUCGCGGAUCAGCAUGUCGCGGUGAAUACGUUCCCGGGUCUU